rnacentral:rRNA from 1 species
CAGUAGCCACGGUAAUACAGAGGGUGCGAGCGUUAAUCGGAUUUACUGGGCGUAAAGCGUGCGUAGGCGGCUUCUUAAGUCGGAUGUGAAAUCACUGAGCUUAACUUAGGAAUUGCAUUCGAUACUGGGAAGCUAGAGUAUGGGAGAGGAUGGUAGAAUUCCAGGUGUAGCGGUGAAAUGCGUAGAGAUCUGGAGGAAUACCGAUGGCGAAGGCAGCCAUCUGGCCUAAUACUGACGCUGAGGUACGAAAGCAUGGGGAGCAAACAGGAUUAGAUACCCCAGUAGUCCCUGUCUCUUAUAA